rnacentral:rRNA from 1 species
UUUCGCAAUGCCCGAAAGGGUGACGAAGCGACGCCGCGUGUGGGAAGAAGACCUUCGGGUUGUAAACCACUGUCGGGAGUUAAGAAAUGUAAGGGUGUUAACAGCAUCCUUACUUGACUAAGGCUCCGGAGGAAGCCACGGCUAACUCUGUGCCAGCAGCCGCGGUAAUACAGAGGCGGCAAGCGUUGUUCGGAAUUAUUGGGCGUAAAGAGCACGUAGGCGGCCUUGCAAGUCAGUUGUGAAAUCCUUCUGCUUAACGGAAGAACAGCAGCUGAUACUACAGGACUUGAGUGCGGGAGGGGAGAGUGGAACUUCUGGUGGAGCGGUGAAAUGCGUAGAUAUCAGAAGGAACGCCGGCGGCGAAAGCGGCUCUCUGGCCCGUAACUGACGCUGAGUGUGCGAAAGCUAGGGGAGCAAACGGGAUUAGAUACCCCGGUAGUCCUAGCCGUAAACGACGGGCACUAAGUAGAGGGGUUUUA